UUGACUACAAAACUUGUGAACAUCGUACUUCAUCUUCGAUCAAAAGAAGUGUUCAUGCAACAUAUUAUAAGUUUUAUUAAUCCCAAAAUGUCUCAUUAAGCCACCACCAAAUUAGACUAGCUCCAAAGAUAAACUAACAACCCUUGCUAAACCUAUCAAGCCCUUUCCCUUCAUGGUGUCUGAAAGCACAUUAGCGAGUGCUAGUCCAUUGAGACAGACCUAGGCAAUACAUGAGCCCUCAGGUGGGUCCUCGUGCUCGUGGUUCGGUCGUAUGUAGAAAAGUACUAUACAUCCAACCUUGCCGGAACUGGAAAGCUACCUAAGGCAAUGCCAUUAGAACCUAUCAUGUCACAUGUGUUUGUAUUUCUAGACACCAAAUGUACAGUUACUUACUACGUAUUUCUUAAACUACUUAAACCACGUAAUACUCUUAUUUUUCAGGUAAAGGUUAGGCACAAAGGUACGGAUGGUGACGCCGUGACGAAAGCCAUGGAACUAGAGAUUUUAUUAGGAACGUGGGAGCCCACGACACCUUUUAUGAAAUAUUUUAUAUGAAUAUUUUGCGUACACAUUAAUCAUGUCAUCUAUGUAGUAACAACUUUA